UUUUCCUGGGUUGAUAGCUUUAUUUACCCUGGUCUGUAGGAAUAGCUCUCAGAAAUUUACCUUUUCAAAAUGCCUGUCAUUCAGGAAAGAUGGGGCCAGAGAAAGGACAGAUUAUCUGUUGUAAAAUGUCUGGGAAUCCCUACCUACAACUCAGGUACCUAUAUCCCUUUUUAAUGAAGGCACACACUAUGAUUUCUUUCAUUUUGAAGAUGUCAGCCCUGGACCCUUAGGUCUGAUGUGGAGAUUGCUGGGAAGCAGGGCUGGUGAGAGUUAUGCACUUAGGUAUAUUUCUUGGCUUCUCUAGCUGUUUUUCUGAAUCUUCUAAAGGGGCUCUCCCUCAUGCAGUUGUAGAGAUGACUCAAUAAUAACACAGAGAGAAGACAAUCAAUUCUGCAAACAUGGCCUAAUGGGAGAGUCAUCACAGUUUUGUAGUCCCCAAAACUCAUGUUGUCAGUGUGACCAGAAUGACCAGUCCCUCGGGCGGAUUCAUCUAGCCAGACUUGCUGAAGACUCAUGAGUGAACAGAAUUCCAGUUCAUGAUGGAGACGUUUAUCUCUGAUGACCAAAAGACCCCAUGAUUAUUCUCCAGAACUCCCACUGCUAAAUCCUGGGUACCUGGGGAAUUAUGCUAGUCACCAGGAAGUUGUUUAGUGAUCUCUAAAUCAUGAAAGAGAAAUGGCUAAUGUCAUGGGUUCAAUUCUGUCCCUUCCAAAUUCAUAUGUUAAUGUCCUAACAACUAGUACCUCAGAAUGUGACCUUAUUUAGAAAUAGACUUGUAGCAGAUAAAAUUACAGUUGACACUUGAACAAUGUGGGCAUUAGACAUGCCAACUUGCAUAGUCAAAAAUGCAUAUAUAACUUUUAUUCCCCAAAAACUUAGCUACAAAUAGCCUACUGUUGACCCAAAGCCUUAACAGAAUAACAGAAAUAGUGGAUUAACACAUAUUUUGUAUGUUUUAUGAAUUAUAUACAGUGGUCUUACAAUAAAGUAAGUUAGAAAAUAUGUUAAGAAAAUCACAAGGAAAACACAUUUAUAGUACUGUACUGUAUUUGUUGAUACUGUAAGUUUGCAUCCCCUGUCUCCAAGAUGAAUUGUCUGUCUGAAUUGGCAGCAACAGCAACUGCAGACCUCGAUCUAUACUGCAUAUCAAGCAAUUCGGCUUUUUGCUGUAACCUCAUGACUUUUCUCUGCUUCUUGGGAUCACUCUUCCUUUUUUUAUAAUUCGUGUAUAUUUUAUGGCAGUGAUAAAAUGACUAGUAUCUACAUAUAUUUUAUACAUACACUUGUCACAUAUUUCCAAAACAAAUUUUCCAAUAUAUUUAUUGAAAAAAAAAAAUCUGGCCAGGCGCAGUGGCUCACAUCUGUAAUCCCAGCACUUUGGGAGGCCGAGGCAGGUGGAUCAUGAGGCCAGGAGAUCAAGACCAUCCUGGCCAACAUGGUGAAAACCCUGUCUCUACUAAGAAUACAAAAAUUAGUGGGGUGUGGUGGCAUGCACCUGUAGUCCCAGAUACUUGGGAGGCCGAGGCAGGAGAGUCACUUGAACCCAGGAGGCAGAGGUUGCAGUAAGCCAAGACUGCCCCAUUGCCCUCCAGCUUGGAUGACAGAGACUCUGUCUCAAAAAAAAAAAAAAAAAAAAAGGAAGAGCCUUUUUCGCUCCUCCCACCGCCCAAGAUGCCAAAAGGAAAGAAGACCAAGGGGAAGAAGCUGGCUCCGGCCCCUUCUGUUGUGAAGAAGCAGGAGGCCAAGAAAGUGGUGAAUCCCCUGUUUGAGAAAAGGCCUAAGAAUUUUGGCAUUGGACAGGACAUCCAGCCCAAAAGAGACCUCACCUGCUUUGUGAAAUGGCCCCGCUCUAACAGGUUGCAGCUGCAGAGAACCAUCCUCUAUAAGCAGCUGAAAGUGAUUCCUGCAGUUAACCAGGUCACCCAGGCCCUGGACCACCAAACAGCUACUCAACUACUUAAGUUGGCCCACAAGUACAGACCAGAGACAAAGCAAGAGAAGCAGCAGAGGCUGUUGGCCCGGGUCAAGAAAAAAGCUGCUGGUGAAGGGGACAUCCCCAUAAAACAGACCACCUGUCCUUCAAGCAGGAAUUAACACCAUCACCACCUUGGUGGAGAACAAGAAAGCUCAGCUGGUGGUGGUUACACAUGACGUGGAUCCCAUUGAGCUGGCUGUCUUCUUGCCUGCCCUGUGUCAUAAAAUGGGAGUCCCUUACUGCAUUAUCAAGGGGAAGGCAAGACUGGGACAUCUGGUCCACAGGAAGACCUGCACCACUGUCGCCUUCACACAGGUUAACUCAGAAGACAAAAGUGCUUUGGCUAAGCUGGUGGAAGCUAUCUGGACCAAUUUCAAAGACAGGUAUGAUGAGAUCUGCAGUCACUGGGGAGGCAACGUCCUGGGUCCUAAGUCUCUGGCUCGCAUCGCCAAGCUCGAAAAGGCAAAGGCUAAAGAACUUGCCACUAAACUGGGUUAAAUGUACACUGUAGAGUUUCCGGUGAAUCAAAAUUAAAAAAAUACAAAUUUUCCUUCAAAAAGAAAAUCAUUUAUAAGUGGAGCCCAUGCAGUUCAAACCUGCAUUAUUCAAGAGUCAACUGUAGUUAAGAUGAGGUCAUAAUGGAUUAGGUGGGCCCCUAAUCCAAUAUGAUUGGUGUUUUUAUACAAAGGGAAAAUCUGGACAAUGACAUACGCAGAGGGAAACACCAUGGAAAGACAAAGAUUGGGGUGAUGCGUCCAUAAGCCAAGAAAUGUCGAAGACAGCAGCAAAGCACUGUUAUCUAGGGGAGAGGUAUUAUGGGACAGAUUCUUCCUUACAGGCCUCAGCAGGAACCAGUCCUGCUGCCACCUUCAUCUCAGACUUUUGCCUUCCAGAACUGUGAGACAGUAAAUUGGUUAAGCCACCCAGCUUAUGGUAGUUUGUUACAUCGGCCCUAGCAGACUAAUACAGAUGGUUUUGAGGACUAGUUCACAUUGUGGAGCUUGACAAAUUACCUUAUAACCCUCACUAGUGACCAAAUUAUUUGUAAUCUCUAGAUCUAAGUCUGUUUUCCUCAGACUGGAGUGGAAAAACACUCCUCGGCCAGGUGCGGUGGCUCACGCCUGUAAUACCAGCACUUUGGGAGGCCAAGGAAUGCAGAUUGCUUGAGGUCAGGAGUUUGAGACCAGCCUGGCCAACAUGAUGAAACCCUGUCUCUACUAAAAAUACAAAAAAAUAGCCAGGUCUGGUGGCAGGCACCUUUAAUCACAGCUACUUGGGAGGCUGAGGCAGGAGAAUUGCUUGAACCUCGGGGGCAGAGGUGGCAGUGAGCCUAGAUUGUGCCACUGCACUCCAGCCUGGACAACAAGAGUGAAACUUAGUCUCAAAACAAACAAACCAGCAGCAACAACAACAAAACACUCCCCAGAUUUUGGUCUUUGGAUUUCCUUUUCCUAAAUCGAAUAUCUUCCUUCUUCUAUAUCUACAUCCUUUUUUCUGAAGUGCAAAUUUUUUUUUUAACCUUUUUGUGGAGAAUGGGGUCUUGCUAUGUUGCCCAGGCUCAAACUCCUGAGAUCAAGAAAUCCUCCCUCUUUUGUCUCCUUAAGUGCUGGGAUUACAGACAUGAGCCACAGUGCCCGGCCUCUUCUGAGGUGCCAAUACCAUUUAUUACAUCUCAGUUCUCUUAGUCAUACUCCAGUUACAUCUCCCAGCCCAUCCGUGUCACUCCUGCCAAGGCUUUGCAUACAGUCCAGGACUAUUUUCAGUUUUAGUGACUAGAAGAAUCACCUGGGGCUGCUGGUUAUAAGAAAGAAAGAAAAGCACACUUAUAACCCCUAUCUCUAGAGAUUUUGAUUUAUAGGCCUGUGGUAGGAUCCAAGAAUGAUCACAUUAGCUAAGCACCGCAGGUACUGUUAACCUCCUGGAUUAUCUGUUGAUUCUUACCAGUUUUAUUCUUGAGCAGAAUCCAGAUUCCAAACUCUGGAGACAUCAAGCUUGGUCUUACUUUGGAAAUACUCCCAGCAUUUAGGAUUUAGACAUUUCCUCCCUAAGCAGAGUGGGUGUCCUGAACCAGUCUCAUUCAUUCCUUCAACAAAAUUUUUUGAAUAUCUGCUAUGAACAAAAUACUGUUCUAGGGUCUAGGGAAACAUCAAUAAAACAAAUAGACAAAAAUCCCUCACAUUCUAGCUGGGAAAAACAGUGAGUUAAAUCCAUAAACAUACUAGGUGAGCAGUACUAUGGGGAAAACAUAAGCAAGAUAGAAAAUGUGAGUGCCGGGGGCUGCAGGCAUCACAGUGUUUUAGUUUUUUAUUUCUUUUUGUAAAGACAAGAUCUUGCUUUGUUGCCCAGGCUGGUCUAGAACUCCUGGCCUCCAGUGGUCCUUCUCAGCCUCCCGAAGUACUGAGAUUACAGAUGUGAGCCAGCACCCUGCUGGGCCGGGUUGCAAUUUUUUUUUUUUUUUUUUUUUGAGACGGAGUUUUGCUAUUGUUGCCUAGGUUGGAGUGCAAUGGCACAAUCUCAGCUCACUGCAGCCUCUCCCUCUUGGGUUCUCGGUUUCAAGUGAUUCUCCUAUCUCAGCCUCCUGAGUAGCUGGGACUAUAGGUGUGCCACCAUGCCUGGCCAAUUUUUUAUUUUUAGUAGGGACAGGGUUUCUCCAUAUAGGCCAGGCUGGUCUCGAACUCCUGAUCUCAGGUGAUCCACCUGCCUGAGCUUCCCAAAGUGCUGGGAUUACAGGCAUAAGCCACUGUGCCUGACCCUGCGUUGCAAUUUUAAACAGGUUGUUCUAAGUAGGCCUCACUGAAAAAGUGACUGAAAAGUGAGCAGCGUGGCUUUCUAGAAAAGUGUAUCCUGCAGAGGAGACAACCAGUAUAAAGUCCCCAGGCAGAAGCUGAGCACACCUGGGGUGUUUCCCAGGAACAAUUUAGAGGCCAGAGUGGUUGAAUAUGAGUGAGAGAGGGUGGCUGAGCUAAGGUCAGAAAGCUUACGAAGGAACCAGGUCAUGCCCUUGGCAGCCAUUGCAAGGCCACUGGCUUUCCCUCUGAGUGAGGUGGGGAGCCACAGGAGGGUUUGCGCAGUAACAUGCUCCGACUUUUUUUUUUUUUUAGAUUCAGAACAUAUAUGUGCGGGUUUGUAACAUGGAUAUACUGUGUAAGAUUGUGGUCUGGGCUUCUAGUGAAACUGUCACCCAAACAGUGAACAUUGUACCCAGUGGAUUUUUUUUUUUUUUUUUAACACGGAGUCUUGCACUGUCACCAAGCUAGAGUGCAGUGGCAUGAUCUUGGGUCACUGCAACCUCUGCCUCCUGGGUUCAAGUGAUUCUCCUGCCUCAGCUUUCUGCAUAGCUGGGACUACAUGAGUGUGUCACCAGGACCAGUUAAAUUUGGUAUUAUUAGUAGAGAUGGGUUUCACCAUGUUGGCCAGGAUGGUCUCCAUCUCUUGACCUCAUGAUCUGCCCAUCUCGGCCUCCCAAAGUAUUGGGAUUACAGGCAUGAGCCACUGAACCAGUGUCCCAAUAGAUAAUUUUUCAACUUUCAACACUCACCACCCUCCUCACUAUUGGGGUCCCCAGUGUCUACUGCUUCCAAUCUUUGUCUGGCUUAGAUUUUUGAAGUAUUACUCAGGCUGUUGUAAGGGGAACAGGAGUGGAAACAGGGAGACUGUUUAGGUGAUCCAGUAAGCCAGGUGGGAGACACUGGUCACUGGCCAUAGGUUAGUAGCAGCUGAGAUGAUGCGAGGUGGUAAUGCUGGUUGUAUUCUGAAGGUGGAGCCAACAACUUUCUAACAGACUGGAUGUUGAAUGUGAGAGAAGAGAGACAUCAAGGAAGAUUCUCCUCAGGAUAAAUCUUGGAAUUCUGGCAUGGAAUGCAGAGCAGAAGCAUCCCCAAAUGAUAUAGCAUAUAGCCUGCAGGUUUCUGGCCACCGUCCUACACCCAGAAGCAGAGCCAGCCUGACAGUGGAGACAGUACUGCUUGUGGCAGGGCAGAGUGGCAGAAACUGGUCCUGGGGUCAGGGCUGAUCUACCUCUGCACCUUCAGGUACAUCACCAAGGACCUUCCUUGGUUAUUUUCUGUUACUUGCAUCCAAAAGCAUGCUUACUGCUAUUCUGCUCCAGAGUCGCAGAAGUCUCUCAGAUGCACUUUGCCCAGAGAAACUUUUUUGGAAAGACUUUACUUUUUUUUUUUUUUUCUGAUACUGAGUCUUGCUCUGUCUCCCAGGCUGAGUGCAGUGGUGCACUCUCAGCUCACUGUAACCUCUGCCACCUAGGUUCAAGCGAUUCUCUUGUCUCAGCCUCUGGAGUAGCUGGGAUUACAGGCAUCUGCCACCAUGCCUGGCUAAUUUUUGUAUUUUUAGUAGAGGCGGGGUUUCACCAUGUUGGCCGGGCUGGUCUCAAACUCCUGACCUCAAGCGAUCCACCCACCUCGGCCUCCCAAAGGGCUAGAAUUGUAGGUGUGAGCCACCAUGCCCAGCUUCCAGCUAAGACUUUACUUUGUGUGUGUGUGUGUGUGUGUGUGUGUGUGUGUGUGUGUCUGCAUCCAUGAUUUGAAGGACUUUACUUUUUUAGGAGCGGUUUUAGGGCCAGGUGUGGUGGCUCACACCUGUAAUCCCAGCACUUUGGGAGGCCGAGGCAGGCAGAUCACUAGGUCAAGAGAUUGAGACAAUCCUGGCCAACAUGGUAAAGCCCCAUCUCUACUAAAAAUACGAAAAUUAGCUGGGUGUAGUGGCACAUGCCUGUAGUCCCAGCUACUGGAAGGCUGAGGCAAAAGAAUCGCUUGAACCUGGAGGUGGAAGUUGUAGUGAGCUGAGAUUAUGCCACUGCAUUCCAGCCUUGAGACGAGCGAGACUCUGUCUCAAAAAACAAACAAACCAGUUUUAGGUUUAUAAGGGAAGGUACAGAUUUUCCAUAUAUCCCCUGCCUCCACACAUGCACAGCCUCCCCAACUAUCAACAUCCCCCACCAGAGUGGCAUCCGCUACAAUUGAUAAACCCACAUUGACACAUCACUAUCAUCCCAAGUGCAUAGUUUGCAUUAGGGCUCACUUGUAGUGUUGUACAUUCUAGUGGUUUGGACAGGUAUAUAAUUAUAUAUACUGUGUAUAUCAUUAUACAGUAGUCUCAUACAGAGUAUUUUCACUGCCCUAAAGAUCCUCUGUGGCCAGGAGUGGUGGCUCACGCCUGUAAUCCCAGCACUUUGGGAGGCCAAGACAGGUGGAUCACAAGGUCGGGAGAUCAAGACCAUCCUGGCCAACAUAGUGAAAUCCUGUCUCUACUAAAAAUAAGAAGAAAAUUAGCCGGGUGUGGUAGCGCGUGCCUGUAAUCCCAGCUACUCAGGAGGCUGAGGCAGGAGAGUCACUUGAACCUGGAAGUUGGAGGUUGCAGUGAGCUGAGAUUGUGCCACUGUACUCCAGCCUGUACUCCAGCCUGGCAACAGAUCGAGACUCUGUCUCAAAAAAAAAAAAAAAGAUCUGGCCGGGCGUUGUGGCUCACUCCUGCAAUCCCAGCACUUUGGGAGGCCGAGGCAGUGGAUCACACGGUCAAGAGAUAGAGACCAUCCUGGCCAACAUGUUGAAACCCGUCUCUACUGAAAAAUACAAAAAUUAGCUGGGCGUAGUGGCAUGUGCCUGUAGUCCCAGCUACUCGGGAGGCCAUGGCAAGAGAAUUGCUUGAACCCAGGAGGCAGAGAUUGCAGUGAGCCGAGAUUGCACCACUGCACUCCAGCCUGGUGCCUGACGACAGAUCAAGACUGUCUCAAAAAAAAAAAAAAAGAACUUCUGUGUUCUCACCUAUUAUUCCUUCUUCCCUCCAAACCCUAGCAACCACUGAUCUUUUUAGUCUCUUCAAGUUUUGCCUGUUCCAGAAUAUCAUAUAGUUGGAAUCAUACAGCAUAUAGCCUUUACAGAUUGGCUUCUUUCACUUGUUAAUAUGCAUUUAAGUUUCCUCUGUCUUAUCAUGGCUGAAUAGUUCAUUUCUUUUUAGUGCUGAAUAAUAUCCCAUUGUCUGGAUAUACCACAGCUUAUUUAUUCAUUCACCUACUGAAGGACAUCUUAGUUGCUUCUAAGUUUUGGCAAUUAUGAAUAAAGCUGUCAUAAACAUCUGUGCAUAGGUUUUUGUGUGGACGUAAGUUUUCAACUCAUUUGGGUAGCUCCCAAGGAGUAUGAUUGCUGGAGCAUAUGGUAAGAGUAUGUUUCGUUUUGUAAGAAACUGCCAAACCGUCUUCCAAAGUGGUUGUACCAUUUUGCCUUCCCACCAGCAAUGAACGAGAGUUCCUGUUGUUGCACAUCCUUGAGAGCAUUUUAUAUUUUCCGUGUUCAGGAAUUUAGCCACUGAAAUAGAUGCGUGGGGAUAACUCUGUUGUUUUAAUUUGUAUUUCCCUGAUGACAUAUGUGGAUCAUCUUUUUGUAUACUUGUUUGCCAUCUGUAUAUUUUCCUUGGUGGGUAUCCAAGUCUUUGGUCCAUUUUUUAAUUUGGUCAUUUGUUUCAUUAUUGUUGAGUUUUGUGAAUUAUUUUUAUAUUUUAGAUACCAAUCCUUUAUCAGAUGUGUCUUUUGCAAAUAUUUUCUCUUUGUCUGUGGCUUGUUUUCUCAUUCUUGAUUUUUUAAAAUUAUUGUAAUAGAGAUGGGGUCUCACUAUAUUGUCCAGGCUGGUCCUGAAUUCCUGGUCUCAAAUAAUCCGCCCACCGUGGCCUCCCGAAGUGCUGGGAUUAUAGGCAAGAGCCACUAUGUCUGGCUUAUUCUGUCAAUAAUGUCUUUCACAGAGCAGAAUUUUUACAUUUUGAAGAAGUUCAAUUUAUCAAUCAUUUCUUUCAUGGAUCAUCCCUUUGGUACUGUUUCUAAAAAGUCAUUGUCAUACCCGAGGUCAUCUAGGUUUUCUCCUAUGUCAUCUUCUAGUUUUAUAGUUUUGCAUUUUACAUUUAGGUCUAUGAUCCCUAUGAGUUAAUUUUUGCUAGGAGUGUGAAGUCUGUAUCUAGAUUCAUUUUUUUUUCAUGUGGAUGUUCAGUUGUUCCAGCACCACCUGAAGAAGCUUUUCACUGUUCUACCAGUGCUAGACUACAGACCUCUGGGAUGACUUUGCCAAGACAUUCUUUCUUAUGCCUCUCCCAUCUCGCUGAAUUGGUCUAUUGGCAAAUUGCAAACUCCUUAGGGCACUGUAUCAGGAGCAGGGCCAGACCAGCUCAGCAUGGCAGAAAGCCUGAAAUAGUUAGCACAACAUCCCCAUGUGAUAGGUAGUAGUUAAUUGCCUGUAUUCUACAAAGUUGAGAACAGAGAUUAAGUGACUUACUCAGAAUCAGAAAAGUCUUCUAUUUCAAAUCUAAGAUUAGUCUCUCUGAUUAACUAAUUGCAAUCCAUCUGUCACAUAGAAGAGAGUAGGGGUUUGCAGGAGGAGACCAUCUGGCUGGCUGCUUCACUGCUUGUCAAUUUAUUGAUUUAGACACCACAGAUAUGAUCCUCAGCUUUACACAUCCGAUAACUACUGGGCCCUGUGCUCAAGGAGAUUAAACUAGAAAGGAUCAAUUCAUCAUACGGAAACUUAUAAGACACUGAUGUGUAAAUCAGUUUGUUGGAUUAUUUAUAAUAGGAAGUGUUUCUCACAUGUGGGAAUCUGUAAACUCUUGAAUAUAUCUCAAUUUGAGAAACACUGCAUUCAAACUUCCAUUAUGAGACUUUGGGUCACUUGACCAAGACAGUCAUGAAUCCAAAUCCAGCAUGGCCAUUGAUAUUAUGUGGCACUACUCUGUAAAAAGGUGGUGAUACUGUGUUAAAAUUUUUCCAUUUUCUUUAAAAUUAAAACACAACGUUUAAAAAUUCUUAUAAAGAAUUUAUGGACCUCUGAAAUAUUAAGAAUCCAAUUUUAAAAACAAUGCUAUAAGACAAAGGCUUUGCCUGAAAACUGGGCUGUUUAUAGAUACAGGAUGCUCUAAAGCAAGGCCACUCAGGGAACCGAGUCGCAAUUAGAAGGUGGAUUGGUGGGAGAAGAAAAAGAACCAGAGAGAGUUUGCUGUUCCCAGGGAACAUGGUGCUAAGACAAGGGCAGUUGCUUAUCUUGUCUGCAUUUGUGGCACAAGUAUUUCUGUUUAAGAUUCUACUGGUCGGGUUGGGCACGUUGGCACACACCUGUAAUCCCAGCACCUUGGGAGAGAUUACAGGUGUAAUCCACUGCUCUCCUGAACCAUCGUCUCCUACUUAUGUUGCCCAUAAAUAUGCAACCCCAGCUCAGACUUGGGGAGGGCUUCUGGAAUGGGCUGAGGAGAGUCUUGAUUCAGAAAUACAUCGCUAAAUAGCAGCAGUUAACGUUCUGACAAUUAGAGUUGCAUUUAGAGUGGACCUAGUUGAAAUCUGUAGGAUGAAUUUUUUAAGUGAAUUUUGCCUUCUGCUUUUAUUUUUUAAUUUUUGAAAGUUAUUUUUUAAAAAUAAAUGGACGGGGUAUAAAUGGAAGAGGCUGAAUAUUGAUAGUUGUUGUAGUUGGUGAUAAGUACAUGAAUUCAUUGUACUAAUAAUGUCUCUGAGGAAAGAUCACAAUAUGUUGUUUAAGUUUUUAUAAAAACACAUAAGAAGUAAUAAAUGUACCUGGACAGUCGAACAUAUGAACAUCAUGAAAAGGAAAAAAAAAGAAUUGCUUGAGCCUAGAAGGUUGAGGCUGCAGUGAGCCGAGAUCAUGCUACUGCACUCCAGCCUGGGUGACAGAGUAAGACCCUGUCUCAAAACAAAGCAAAGAUUCUACCCGUCAUGGAGAAGACAGCACCAUCUUUCGUGCACUAUGGUAGAAAAGCACCGACAAACAAUUACUCACUGACCUCCAUUUUCCUAGACUUUGUUUUAAAUCUGUGAAGCCUCCCGGCGACUGCAUCAUAGGAUGCACUUUCACUUGACAAGGAAAACUUGGACCAGAUCAGUGAACUCCAGAGCCCGUGGUAUUUCAGCUUAGCAUGUUGCUAGUUUCUCUCAUUGAACUAAAUAAUGGGGGAUCCUUAAAUACUACAGGAAAUGGGAAAAGCAACCUUCUAUCACUUUCUCCAUUUUGUCUACAACAGUCUGAGAAUCACUCAUUCUUCUCAAAUGACUUCUUUCAGUGUUCUCAACUUACCCCUUUUUUGGUAUUUGGCUUUGACCAACCCUCCUCUUUCCCACCUACAGGUUCAAUGGUGUCAGUGCUAGGAACUAGGGAGCACCCACUGCCCACUGCCACGUACUCCCUCCUGGCUCGGGAGCCAGCUUGGACUAGAGCCAGACCCAACACUGGGCUGCCUCCAAGCAGCCUGAGAGAAUGCCUGCUGUUCCCAGGCAGUGAUUCUGGGCACAGCCUUCAAUCGCCAAUUCUUCCCAGGCCCCUCAGAGCCCAGAAAGGGCAUGUAAUCCCUUACACUGCUUGGCAAGUGCCUGUUUGUUCUCUAGUAUGGUCAGAACCAGGGAGAAGGGGGCCUGGCUAGUCCUAGAAAUGAGAGGGCUGCCCGGGAGUGCUGCUGGGGAACAUGCUGUAGGGCUGUAGGGGCCCCACAGGGUCGUGGGGUGUCCUUUAUGCUGUGCUGAGGUGCAGGAUCUAAGAAGUAAAGAGACAGGACACUGAAGAACUGGUGAAGAGCAUCCGGACUCGGGGGGCCACGCAACCUGUGAGUGGAGAUCAGCGAGAGCCCCAAAUGCCCAGCAGCAUCUGUAUUUAUUAGGUACAAGUAGGGGGCAGGGUUAUGAGUGAGGUCAUCAUCUAUGGGCUUAGUAAUAGCCCACAAUCACGUGAGUCACAAGAGAGGGCGCUACCCCAUUAUGUCACCUAGGCAGAGAGGUGAGCCAUGCACAGCAGGGGGCUGUGCCAUGCACAGUAGCAGAGGGUCAUGUACAGAAAAAGGGGUCCACCCCCAUUAGGUCACCAAAGCAAGGAGGUGGGCUGUGUGCAACAGGUGUUGUGAGCAACACUUCUUAUCUGGGGGCUGGAGACUUCAAAGGAUUUCUAAUAGAAGGAUACUGUAAGCUUAAUACAGUGGGAGCUGACAGACUUGUGCUCUCUCUUAAGAUAUUUAUGGGAAGAUGGCUUGAGCUAGCACAGAAGUAAGAAAAGACUAACAGGCUGUACAGGCGCUGUGACCAGUCACACCGGAGGGGUUCUUCUCCCUCGGUUAUUUCCAGGAUCUCAGGGCUGAGGCCUACUUUCCACAGGAACUGGAUGCAAGGUACUACAACUCCUUUAUCAGGAGGAGAGGCUCUUGCUCCAAGCCUGCCAUACAGCGUAUGCCCUUUCAGGCAGGGACCCCACCGCCUGGAUCUUUGGUUCUUGUCCUGGUCUGGCUGUUUUCCCAUGUACUGCUUCUGUUCUGUGACUGCUCUAGGCAUUCCUCCUACUACAAACUACUAUAUGGUUAUAUGGAAGGAUUCUAUAAAUCAGCAUUAAAUGUGUCAGUACAGCUCUGACUACAAUACCUAUAUGAUUUUUUUUUUUUUUUUUUGCCAAUCAGUUUGAGCUUAUAAGGUUGCUCAGGUUAGCCUUGAACUCAUGACCUCGCCUUCGCAAGCGCCACAACCUCCGGCGGGAGCCACUUUGGACCCCAAUACCUAUAUGAUUAUAUUGAAAGAUUAUAUAGAACUAAGUAUGUUAGAUAUAAGUACUAAGUAUGAUUAUAUAAGCUGGAUAUAUGUAAGCAGUAAGUUAUACUUCAGGCACUAAUUCUAUAAACUGAUAUAUGCUUAUAUAUAAAGGAUUAUAUAAAGGAAAUAGCUGAGUAAUAACGCUAUAGACUAAGAUAUUCUUCAGGCACUAAUUGUGCCUGGGGUCUGGACAGUUCUCCUUCCUUGGGGCCUGUGGGGGGUGUUACCCACACAUGCGGUUGGUGGUGGCCAACCCCUCCCUUACCUGUCUGCUAUACCUACUCAGUGCUGACUCCUGUGCAGGUGUCACCAGUGACCUCAGGGGCUCUUCAGUCUAGCGGGGUUGGACUGCUGCUGUCACCUUUAUCCACCCUAUCACUUCCUACCUAUGCAUGCAGCUUAUCUUCUUCCCGCAGCCUGGACUGCUUGUCCAUGUUAGCUCCUCCUCACCAAAUCCUCCCCACCCUUGAAGAUCCACAGCUCAAACGAGUCCUCCAGGAAGACUUCUAUGAUCUACAACCAGAAGGAAUCCCUUUUUUUGCAAUUGCCCUACCCAUUUUCCUGGACCUAUCUUCAAACACAAACAACAUUCUAUUAUAGCUAUUUCAAUUAUAGCUAUAUUUAAAAGUAUAGCUGUUGAUAUACAUUUUGUUUUUUAAGAUGGAGUCUUCCUCUUGAUGCCCAGGCUGGAAUGCAAUGGUGCGAUCUUGGCCUACUGCAACCUCCACCUCCUGGGUUCAACAAGCUAUUCUCUUACCUCAGCUUCCUGAGUAGCUGGGAUUACAGGUGCCCACCACCAUGCCCAGCUCAUAUUUGUAUUUUUAGUAGAGAUGGAGUUUCACCAUGUUGGCCAGGCUGGUCUCAAACUCCUGACCUCAGGUGAUCCAACUGCCUCGGCCUCCCAAGGUACUGGCAUUACAGGUGUGAGCCACUGUGCCUGGCCCGAUGUAUAUUUCUUAUCUAUACUACCAGGAAAUAAAGUUGGCAGAAGGGCACAUCUGAUUGACUUUCUCAUAAGGUUCUAAACAUUGUAGAUAUCAGUAUUUGCUGGGUGAAUACUAAAUGAGAAGUGUUGUAGAUAUGGUGCACAAAUGACAGAAAUCUGGGUCCUUCACAAGUUUCCCUUCUGAAACUGCCUGUAAGCAGGGUUUCUCUGACUUCCCCACACACUUGUAGCUAAGGGGAUCUGUUGCAGGGGGAAAGGGAGCCUCCAGCUUCUCCAUCCAGCACGAAACCAGUGUCCCUUCCCUUUGGUCAGUGCCUAGGCCAUCCCAGUUGUGAAAUGUUUUGAAUAUCAGCCUUGCAUGAAAGGGGAGGCAGCACCCAACCAGAUGAUGUUGAAGAGACACUGGAUACAAAGGCAUGUUACAGCAGUGCGACAUUCUCACUGAAGGAGGCUAGAGAAGGUGGGGAAGCCUGCUGUCAGAAGCUGGAAAGCAGGGGAGAUCAUUUCAUCUGUUGUUAAUUACUUGUGUAACUUUGGACAAAAAAGUACUAGCCUGGAGCCAGAGACCUGAGUUCUAGUCUGGACAUCUGCACUUGGAUCUUGGGCCAAGUCACUUCAUCUUGUCACAGUUAAUUCAUCUACACAGUAAAAGAGGAUUGUUAUGGUGAGAUACAGGGCUGCUUGAUGAAUGUAGAAAGUCAUGAAUGAAGCCUGGAGAAUGGACAGGUCAAAGGGAAAGUGUUUAUAUGUUGAGCCUUCCUGUGAAAGAUAGUGUCCAUUUUGUGUGGGUGUGCUGUACUUUAACAGGAUAUAUUGGCUCGAGACCAAGGAUUGGAAUUGAGCACCUGCCAAAAGAUGGAGAAAAUAAACAGGAGUAUUCAGUGUUAACCUGAUAUUUCAAUACCUAAGGUGCCCAGUGGUCCAAAGUAUUUUCUCUUGAAACAAGAAGUACUUCUUAUCAGUUCAAACCACAGUUAAACUAUGCUCUUUUUCUUUGUAAGGACAAUUUUUAAAAAUGUAAGUUCUUUAUUAUUUCUCCUCUGAAAGAGCUCACAACACAUUGCCAAGUGUGCCCGUGAGCGCAGAGUAGGUUCUGUAAAAGUUUGUCUCGUUUAGUUUAUUAUCAUUGUUUUUAAGCUUUAGUUUAAGAAAGUCACUUGUUGAUUUUAUUUUUCUAUGCAAAUAGAAUUGCUUAAUAGAAGAAAAAGAAAUGAAGCAACUCUCAGCAAAUUACCCAAAAGCAGAAGUUGAGUUUCUUUCACAUGAGUGUUCAAGUGUUUCAGUCACAUACUCUAGUCUUGGCAGCUCGUGACUGGCAAAGGCCAGAGCUGUGUUGAGCAAAGUCAGAAGUGAAGACAUCUGAGCAGCCAGAGGCAUGCAGGCAGGAGGUAGACACGUGGGACUGGUGCUGGGGAUGAAUCUUCGUUUGUUUGUUAAAACAGGAUCUGGCUCUGUUCUCCAGGCUGGAAUGCCGUGGUGCGAUCUUGGCUGACUGCAAUCUCCGUCUCCUGACUCAAGCCAUCCUCCCACCUCAGCAUCUCAAGUAGCUGGGACUACAGGUGCACACUACCAUGCCUGGCUAAUUUUUGUAUUGUUUGUAGAGAUAGGGUUUCACCAUGUUGCCCAGGCUUGUCUUGAACUCCUGAGUUCAAGCAAUCUGCUCACCAUGGCCUCCCAAAAUGUUAAGACUACAGGCAUGAGCCACCAUGCCAGGCCUGGGGAAGAAUCUUUGAGCAAGGCCACUUAGUAGCAGUAAACACCAGCUACUCACACACUCAGUUACAACUCAUGUAACAGAAACUUGUUGUGUACUUUCUAAUUUCUCAGACAUGUGUUGUAUUUUAGGAAUCUUGAAAGAUCCCCAUGGGAUCUUUCUCUAAACUGGUUCUGUUCAAGAUCAAACCCUGACCUGCUGACUUGUAAGAUAAUUUUCUACAUUUGAGAAACAUCGAAAUCUGAAAGUCUUAAAAAUAAAUAUAUGAUAAUUGCUUAGAAUCAGGAAUAGAGAUAUAUAAUUUCAACAAUAUGCACUUAAACUUGAAUUAUUCCCAGCUUCUUUUUUUCUAGGUAGGAGCCAUAACUAUAGUACCUGGUAGGAAAUAAAGGCUGAUAGGUAAGCAGUGAGACAGCUGAUUAUUUUUCUGGCAAAGAGAAUUUUCAUAACGUUUUUCAUACACUACUGGACUAAUGCUAAGACUUGCUGUUGGCUAUUUAUCACCUACAAAAAUUAGGUUUCUGUUUUUAAUCUUGAUAAGAGAGCAGUUGUUACUGUUGUCUUCAGAGAAGAAUGGUACCUGAGAGACAGGGGCACCAAUGAGUAGGGCCAGAGUUUUUAGCAAGGGGAGCUUUGCUACACAAAAAGGAUUUGGGAGAUAGUAUUUUAACAGAUUCUGCCUCAGAAAAUUAGAUUUUCUAAUUGCUUUUGUUGUUAAAUGCAAGUGGAUAAAAUAUGUGUCUGAUCAGUUUCAUAAUAGGGCAAGUCCCCGGCUCUGCUUAUACCAGAUAUAAGCUGAUUCACUGGUUUUCCCUUAAGUCUGAUGUUUUAGGAAGGGCUUUAAAUGUAAGCAUAAGUAGCAGCAUAGACAAUUGUCUCCUUCAGGUCUUUCAUCAAUGUCACAUCUCAAUCAAGGACCACUUUGACCAUCUUACUUAAAAUUGUGAUACCACACCCAACCUCGACACUGCAUUCUUUUCUUGAUUGAACAUAUCCCUUUCCAACCUAUGAAUUUACUUAUUUGUUAUACUUAUUGCUUAUUAUCUGUCUCCUUCUACCAGAAGGUAACCUGUACAAAGGCAGGAUUGCCUGUGUUAUUCACUGACACAUUUUUAGUGCCAUAAACAGUUCCUAGUUUGUAGUAGUCACACAGUAAAUAUUUGUUGAAUGAUUGGAUGGACAUCUAAAUAUCUGCACUUUCACAUCCUCUUCUGCUCAUAGAACACUACCAAUAUCCAACAACCCUAAGGUGCAUUUCUUAAAGACGAAACCCCGGUGGGUAUGUGUGAUCAAAGUAUAGUAAGAGUACUGAUGUUGGAACACAAAUGUUUGGAGUUCCAGUCAUUCUUUGAGCAUUUAGGGAAGCAGCUAAGUGCCAACUUUGUUUAGGAUAUGAGAAGGAAGCUCUCUCUGUUACUAGUAAGUUAAGUCAGCAUGUAUUUGUGAACCACUCAUUUCUGUGUGUCUGGUGCUGAACUCAUUGUGAGACUUCCCAAAAAGGAGUACACUCUGCCAUUGUUCUCACCAAAGUUUGCCACGUGGCUGGGGAGGUUUCCACGGAAAGCCUACCUUAUGGAUCUUGACUCUUAUUGGCAAGAGGAUGCACCUAAGUUUGAGGAAGGAACUGUUCUAAUUUGAGCUUUUUUUAAAUCUAGGCCAAUAAAAAUCAUUAAAAGCAUUUGCAAUCACUUGCUUAGACCAAUGGCUGGUUCCUUUGGCCAAACAACCAAAGAGUUUUCAAAGUAAUUAUUUGUGUAGUGAGACUGAGCUGAAUAUUUUCAAAUUAUCUCCAUACCCAGGUGCUCUUGUGAGGAAGAUAGCAUGCUUGUUUCCCUGCUGUCCUCUACUUGCUGUAAAUGACUUGGUCAUAAUUGGAUGCCCAAUUCUCUUGUCGCUUUAAUGAAGAGACAAGUCUGCAUUUGACUCGUAUCCUAGCUUCUCAAUCAGAGCCCCCACCCCCCACUCUGGUCCUCCCAGGCAUGUUCGCCUGUGCUCUCAUCUGAUCAAUACAGUCAUUGUCUGGUCUCAUGGUCUAUGGUCCCUCCACUUCUAGCCCCCACUGCAUGUCAGAACCAGAUUAAUUCUUCUAAAUCAUGGCUUUCACCUUAUUGGGCAUCUCUUUAGAAAUUAACUUGACAACAAUCCAUAGAACAAAACCCAGACUUCUCAGCCUAGCGUUCUAACCCUUCCAUCAAGUGGUCCAUCAGCUUUAGGUGACCCGAGCUCCUACUCCGAACUAGAAUGAACACUGUGCUUCAAACUGGUCUCUUGACUCCUCUUUCCAUUCCAGGUUCUCAUUUUCCCUUUCCCAGGCCUUGCUGUCCAUCCUGAUCCCAUCUCCAUGACUCUGACCCCAUCUGCACCACUUUGUUGAUGCUUCUUCUCAUCCACCCAUCCAUUCAUUCAUUCAAUGGAUAUUGAGCUUCUACCAUAUACUAGGCAGCCAGGCUCUGGGAAAAUAAUCCAGGUAAUUUGAAUGACACUGUCUCCCCUUCUCCCUCAAUCCAAGGAGAUCCACACUGCAGGCUGCCUUCAGAAGCCUAUUCAAACCUCACCUUCUCAAUGGUUCCCUGACUCUGCAAGGCAGCCAAGUGUACUGGUUACGAGCAAAGACUUAGGAAUCAGAUAAAUUAGGGUGAGAAUAUUCUUCUGCCACCAAAUACUUGUGGAAUAUUGGGCAAUGUACCCAAUCUUUCUAAGCCUCCCAUUACCUCAUCUAUAAAAUUGGGAUCAUAGGUACCUCAUGGAUUUGUUGUGAGGAUAAAGAGAGAUAAUAAUCAAUAGUGGUGUUGCUGUUAUUAUCUUUUCCUGAUAAUACUAUCUGAGUAUUAUCUGAAAACCUAGAGCAGCAUAAAUGAUGCCUGGUCAAUCAAGAAUGAGUGUAUUUUGCUUGUGAUGUAACUUGUGUGUCUCUUGAAACUCCUUCCUUGCUCCGUAGUACUUCACAAACGCAUAGUGAAUGCAUGCCCAGUAACAAGACUUGUGGCUGUCUCAUCUCUCCUAUUGGAUCUCCAAUUCCUCAGGGACACCAGCUUCUGGCUGUCCUUUCUAUACCCUCUCCCAGGCCAGAUGAACUCUUUCUGUGGCCUGAAAGCCAUCAAGAUAAAAAUGGAGACGCCUCUGUCUGAUCUGAGGCUAAUGGGAGAGGAAAACUUUUACAAACUGGAGGGGGCCUGAAUUUCCAGCUAGUGUUAAGUGGCCAUAUCAAAGUAUAACCCACGGCUUCAAUUUGGUCUGUCAAAGAUGGAAUUAAAAGUAAAUUUGAAGUUUCACAACAUAGUUCUCUCUAUUAGGGGUGCUUCUGUGCAUUAAAAUCAUCUCUAUGAGGUUCACUGGGAUGGACAGAGAUUCAAUCAUUGCUAAUGGCUUGAGGAAAUGGGGUGGUGAGAAUUAGGGUCAUCUAUCCCAAUUGGGGAAAGAAGAACUAGGAAAUGUGUUUUUCAAUCUUGACAUCUUGCCAGCUGGAGCUGAAGGGAAAUGUUUUUCUGAGCUCGUUGAGCAGCCUACUCACAAAUCAUAGAGAGAGCUGCAUUCCAUGAGAAUAGAUAUAAUUUUUAUGUGGUUUAGUUAAAGACUUGUACCACCCACUCAGAGUCAUGCAGAGCACUCCUUAGGGACCCUUGAAACUACACCAUAUCUUGAGGUUGGAGCCCACUUUAGCAAAUGCCAUGAUCAUGGGUUUUAUGCAGUGAGGCUAUUUAUAUAACCCCAGUAACAGUCUGAAAUGUUACAAGAAAAAUACAACAUGGCAGACGCACCCACCAAAUUCUGCAUAUUUAGUCCUCAGUAGAUUACAAAGAUAUUGUCCUAGGUAUAAUAUUUAGGUGCCUUAUCUGUUUUGAAAUACCUAUUUGAUAUUAAGUAGUCUUAAUAAGAAUAAAUAUUCUAAAUAGGUUAUAAAUAAACUUUAUCUUUUCAAAAAAGUCAAUCUCAUCCAGUUCUUUUGUUUAUUUGUUUGUUUGUUUGUUUGUUUUGUUUUGAAACAGUUUUACUCUUGUUUCUCAGGCUAGAGUGCAGUGGUGCAAUCUCGGCUUACUGCAACCCCCACCUCCCAGGUUCAAGUGAUUCUCCUGCCUCAACCUCCCAUGUAGCUGGGAUUACAGGCAUCCAUCACCAUGCCCAGCUGAUUUUUUGUAGUUUUAGUAGAGGUGUAUUUUCAGUUUCACCAUGUUGGCCAGGCUGGUCUUGAAAUCCUAACCUCAGGUGAUCCACCAGCCUCGGCCUCCCAAAGUGCUGGGAUUAUAGGUGUGAGACACUGCAUCCAGCCUCAUCCUGAUCUUAAGAUCAGCCUGGGAGAAGGGCAGGAUAGAUAAUUAUGACAAUGUUAAAUGUUACAGGUGAACAGAGAGAACAGGUAAAUGACUCGCCCAAGGUCACAAAGACUAUAAGGAGCAGAAGCAGGACAAGAAUCCUAGUGGUCAUUACUAGUAUUGUGAUGAUUAUGACAUUGACUCCAUGACAUACUUCUCUGAUUUUUCUGCUCUGCUGUUCUGUACAAAGAGAUCUCAGUAAUGCAUGUGCUCCAGAGUUGCCUUAGUCUGCCCUGGGCUGGGGAGUAGGGUGGUAUUGAUUGGGUCCUUGCCUUUGGUGCAGAUAGGGCCUGGAAACCUGGUCUCACCUUCCUGGCCCAUUUCUUAGUUUUGCUUGUGGGCAGGUAUGAGUAAGAUGGUUAGAACUGGGGCCCUUUUUACAUUUCAUGUUUUUCUGGUUUCUAAAAAUGAAAAUGGCAAGCAAUCCCUGCAGCAGGAGUAUUUGUUCUAGGCAGGGUGUUUCCUGCCAGUUUCCUUGAGUAGGAAGAUUUGCCUUUAGGGCAUUCCUGCUCCCCAGACUAGGUAUGUGAUUUCUCUGACACCUUUUAAAGCUCUAUCAGAUUCAGCCUUUCAGGUCUGUCCUGGUCUGACUAUUGGAUUAGAGUGAAAAUGCAGUAGACUGCAUGAAUUAAUUUUGUUUAAAAAACUAUUCUUAAAGCUGGGCGGGGCAUACAUUUGCCAAUAUUAUCCUGAAGCUUUAAGGGCCCUCUCAGCCCCAGGGGAGUUGGGCUGGCUGGCUUGAUUGCAGGAAGAAGCAGUGGUGACCAGCACGGACUGCCACAUGCUGGUUUGAUGGUGGGGCAGCCUCUGGCAGGAGCGCCCGCAGUUCAUUAUCUGACAUCAUCACUCACAUUUGGUCUUUGCUUGAAUUUCUUUUGGAAAAAAAAGAAGAGAAACACACCCCAAAUUCCAGGUAAUGAAACACUAUUAAACUGGAGGCACCAAGGUUGCAUGCAUGGGGAGGCUUUUCAUCGGACAAGAAAAUGUAAAACGCCCUUGCUCCUCCGUAGCUGGAACUCAGCCAUAUUACACAUCUGCAUUCAGCCAGCUGCUGAUGGUUGUUCUGAGGGCAAAGACCUGAGUUUUGGAUGCUCACGAAUCAGAGAACGGUACCAGGGGAAACCCAGGGUUGCAUUUAGCAACUCGACCCAGAGAAUGCAAAAUACACCUUCCUGUUCAGUCCCCUUUACACACUGCUUAGACGUGGUGGAUUCCCAAAGCUGCAGGGGAAGGCUUGACUUUGAAAGUUUCUAACAGGCUGUAUGAACAUGCUUUCCCACAUAAACACUGAGACAUCUGGGGAGAGAGGUGAAAAAAAGAGGGGUGGAGGCAGGGAGACCUCUGGAUAGAAUAAGCCAAGAGCACAACAGCAGCUGUGAACGUGCCAGAGGCAGGCAGGCAGAUAGCCAAGAAUCUCUGAGCAAAAGCUAAGCAGCAGGGCAGGCCACUCUCCCCGCAGAGUCACUGGCCUGGAAGUGUUGGAUGGUGCCCACCAGUUGCCUAAGCAACCAGGGGUGUCUAGAAUUUCUGGGGGUUCGCUUAAGCUCUGGACUCCAAGAGGGGGCUUCUUUAUUCUUUCCUAACCGCAUGGAGAACACUUGGAGGGUCUGAAGGGACCAUGCGGUUUGGGCUCUGAGAGCUGCUUCUCCCCUGGCUAGCAGAGUCUCUGGCCUUUGUAGCUGUGUGCCUCUCAAGCUGGGUUCUGCAUGGAAAAUCAUACUCGUUACUGUAUCCUAAUUCUUUGGCAUGGGUGGGACGUAAUUUUUUAGUUGUCGUUGAGACAAGGUCUCUGUUGCACAGGCUGGAGUGCAGUGGUGCAAUCACACCUCCCUGCAGCCACCAAUCCCUGGGCUCAAGUGAUCCUCCUGCCUUAGCCUCCCAAAUAGCUGCAACUACAGGUGUGUACCACCUUGCCUCGCUAAUUUUUGUAUUCUUUGUAGAGAUGAGGUCUUGCUAUGUUAGUUGCAAACUCCUGGCCUCAAGCAAUCCUCCUGCCUUGGCCUCCCAAAGUGCUGGGAUUACAGGGUUGAACCACUGCACCUGGUCUAAUUUCUAAAUUGUCCUUUGUUGUCUGGGGAUCAUGUUCUCCCCAGAGUCUCUGCAUCUGUAAUUUCCCUUCUCCCACCCCAGCAGGAAAGAAACUGAGCAUGAUGCCACUUAAAGUGUCUCAUCCCCAAAUCCUCGGAGGCUCAGUCCUGUCCUCGAGAGAGGAGGUAGCCUUAUCUACGCCAGCUGUGUGCAGCCCACAUCCACAGAGGAGUGGGGAGAGAGCCACAAACACAGCCUCCUCCAUUCCAUGGCACCACCUCUCUUUUCAACAGUCUUCCUUUUGAAAAUGAACUGCAUUCCCUAGGCCACCUUAUUUUAUUUCCUGGCUCCCAGAAAUCUUUAGUGUGAGAACAGGCAGAGGAAUCUCCUGGGGUGCAUUUGGAAGGAAGGGAGUAAGCUCAGGGUUGGAUAACUUCCAUGAGCGGAAUCUAAAUCAGUGGUUCUUAACCCUGCUGCACAAUAGAAUCAUCUGGGAGCUGUUAAAAAAAUUGCAACGUUCAGGCUGAGGCCCAGAGAUUUGGUUCAAGGGGUCUAAAUAAAGGUUUUGUUAAAAAAAUUUUUUUUUACAAACAUAUUUUUAAAAACAGCUCCCAGAGAUAAGAAGCACCGACCUAAAGGUGAGUAGCUGGGCAUAAGCACAGGAAAGGUUCCUGUGUGCUGUGUAACGGGUCUGAACCUUAUUUAUCUGCAGGAAGCCUCUCCGUUUGGGCUGGUCAAGCAGCUGUGUUUGCUGGCAGAGACAGCUUGCUUCCUCCCUUUAUCUACCAGAUACACCCUCUUCCUCGGCCUAAACUUGAGGGAGGUGGUGUUGGGUACAAAGACCCCAAUUCCAUAGCAUCGUUAUAGCAAGGAAGUUUUUGAGCAGUCCGCAGAGGAGAAAUACAGCUUCAGAGCCCUGGGAGGGAGCGGGAUGGCUUUUUUUUGUAGGUCUAAAAUAAAACCCAGAGGAUGGGUGGGUGAAGACAAAAGGAGGAAUGAAACAGAAGUGAAACAGCAGAUAGAAUCAUGAACGAAAAUGAGAGCAUCCAGAAAGACUAAAAAUUCUCAUACACCUGUUCUUUGAACAUCUCAGAAAGUUGGUCUCUUGACUCAAACAAUUAAAAUUACAAGUGGCCUUCCUUGGAAUCUGUCUCAAAUCUGUGAAUAGCUAUAGCUUUGGCAGCUGCAUUGGGACAGUUAUUUCAGUGUCCCAGAGGAAAGAUAUUUUGGGGUUUAGUCCUUGCCAGAAAUAAGAAGCCAAGGGAAAAGGAGAAACAUUACAGAAUUUCCAAAAAUAUUUUGAUAGCAAUGCAAAACUUUGUAGAAGCUUAAAGAAAAACUAGAGUACACUCUUAUUUUAAGGACGCCUAGUGGACUGGCCCUGUAUUUUGGCCAGUAGAUUAUUAUGUUUUUUGGAUCUUCGAAGGGCCUGUAAGUUCAUGGAUAUACACGUGAGUGUAUGAGUAUACUGUGUGUGUGCAUAUUUGUAUGUAUGCGUGCAUUUAUUUAUAAUAUACUCAGUCACUUUUGUGAUUUGUAUAUAUGGACUAGAUUAGUUUUAUAUAAGUUUUAAAAUAAUAUAGGCCUUUUCCUACUUAGGAAAAUGAGGGCAAUAACAUCAGGUAAGUCUGGUGGGAAAGUUACGCAGGGACGGGUUCAGUUAGAAAUUUAAAGUUGGGCUAUACCAUUUAAGCAUCGAAUAUGACCUGAUCCGUCUGCAGUCAUCAAGGCAGUUCUAGUUCAUCACCAUACUUGAGACCCUUUUGUGGGACUGGCUGGGAAAUCAUUUGCUCCUAAGAAAGCUUGCUGUUUUCCUCCUCCAGCCUUUUUUCCCUGUCCAGCUCCUACAUCCCUUGCAUUGCUCAGGAAACGUCUCUUUCUUUUCUUUCCUAUUUUUUUUUCUUUCAGAGAUGGGGUCUAGCUCUGUCACCCAGGCUGAAGUGCAGUGGCACGAUCAUAGCUCACUGUAGCUCCUGGGCUCAAACAGUCCUCUCACCUCAGCCUCCUGCACAGCUGAGACUGCAGGCACAUACUGUCCUACCUUGCUCGGAAGAGUUUGUUUCUACUGUGUCCCAGUCUUAGUGGUUAAAGGACUUUUCUUCUCCUCAGUAGUUUGGCAGUAAGAUUGUUGUGUGGGUUCUCAUUUUUAAUUGGUGGAAACUAUUAUCGUUCUGUAAUAUUUUAUGUGUUACAAUGUGCUCAUUUUCUCCACUAACACCCACGGGCAGUGUUGCACAGGGUACAGUUGUGAAAAUAGAAAAAUAAAAAUAAAAUAAUGUUAAUUAUGCCCUAAAGGUUGGCAGAUGUGGAUUUAAGAAUUAUUGCAUUGUACAGGUAUCCCUCAGUCCUGUUCAUGUUAAUAAAUAUCUCUCUGUCAGUCAACUUGUCUGGGCAGCCAAAUCUGUAGAAUCAGUUUUGAAUUAAAGCUACCAAAAGUGGCAAAGCUUUGCUUAUUUCAGCAAAGAAGGUUUUCAUGCAAUUUGAGACAGAGGAAUAAACAUUUCCUUGGUAAAAAAUAAAAGUACAGGGUCUGAAGGAACAAGAUUUUCUCAGUCAUCCAAGUGUGAGCCCUUACGAAGGAUAGGCAGUUAAUAGUGAGCAGAAUUCAGAUGGGAGUUCUGCUCCAGAACUCAGCAAUUGCGUAAACAAUACAUUAUCUACUCUGUAAAGUGUGCAAAACAAACUCACUCCAGUGGCUCUCUUUUUAAACUUUCUGUGAUAAGGAAAAGAAACUGUAUAAUUAUUUUAAAAGAAUGAAUAAAAGACUAUUUUCAUUCACAUAA